UACGAAGGGGGGCUAGCGUUGCUCGGAAUCACUGGGCGUAAAGGGCGCGUAGGCGGAUCUUUAAGUCGGGGGUGAAAGCCCAGGGCUCAACCCUGGAAAGGCCGUGGAAACUGGUGAGCUAGAGUGCGGUAGGGGGCAGAGGGAAUUCCCAGUGUAGCGGUGAAAUGCGCAGAUAUCAGGAGGAACACCGAUGGCGAAGGCAGCUCGCUGGGACGGUACUGAGCUGAGGCGCGAAAGCGUGGGGGAGCAAACAGG
rnacentral:rRNA from 1 species